rnacentral:lncRNA from 1 species
CUUAACACCCAAUAAGAUCCAUACCCCCUGUUACUUCUUCUUAGAACCCCCACUCCAUUCCUGACAAUCUCCACCAUCACAACAGCCAUCAGCGGCGUUCCAACAGCCCUCCCCAUCGGCUUCAUCUUCCUCGCCGCAGAACCCACUAUACCCUCUCAAUAUUUUGUUUGUUAAGAGACCACAACUGGCAGCUCCAUUACUUCCCUUCUCUAUCGCAAAAAUCCAGCAACAAUCUCGUUAUAGUCACCGAAUAACACCCAUUCUCCAAUUACUAAUUCUUCAUUUUUCAUCAUUAUCGAGUUUCGAGUUUUCCGGCGAGGUUAAUUCGUGUUGAAGUAGUCAAGAUCUAAAAAAAGGGAUUAAGUUUUGGUCAAAAUUCUAGUAAAAAAUUCGAUUGAGGUUGUCGUUCACAUUUCCUACUUGUUUGCGGUUCUUAUCCAGCGGAAUUCUGUAGUCUUUUAUUGUAUUUUCUUCCAAAGUUAAUCAAAAGCUGUAAUUUCAGGUUCAUCUACAACUCCUUCUCUUAUUUUAUUUUUGGAUGGUAUUAGAGUAUGGUAAGAGCCAUAAUCAAUUUAGGUAUCAAAAUGGGUUGAAUAUAGAUCGUUUGUUGUUAGUUUGUUUUGUAUCACGCGUGCGGAGUUCAUUCAACAGUUUUCUCUUUCACUAUGUUUUCCAUGAGUCUGAGUCUUGUUUUGGUAAUUGACUCUAAGUUGACUAUAUGUUGGCACACCUUUGUUCUUGUAUAGUAACGUGUGAUACGAGCAGGAAUUACGG